rnacentral:rRNA from 1 species
UACGUAGGGGGCAAGCGUUGUCCGGAUUCAUUGGGCGUAAAGAGCGUGUAGGCGGCCAGGCAGGUCCGCUGUGAAAACUCGAGGCUCAACCUCGAGAUGUCGGUGGAAACCGUCUGGCUAGAGUCCGGAAGAGGAGAGUGGAAUUCCCGGUGUAGCGGUGAAAUGCGCAGAUAUCGGGAAGAACACCCGUGGCGAAGGCGGCUCUCUGGGGUAUUGCUGACGCUGAGGCACGAAAGCCAGGGGAGCGAACGGG